UUCUUAUACUAUAUUAUUAUAAGUAAAAUCUGCUCAAUGAUAUUUAAAUAGCCGCAGAAUUUUAACUGUGCUAAGGUAGCAUAAUCAUUUACCUUUUAAUUGAAGGUUUGCAUGAAAGAUUUUACAUUUAAAUUAUUUUUUUAUUAAAUCAAAUUAAAAUUUUAUUAAAAAUAAAAAUAUUUUUAUAAAUAAAAAAGACGACAAGACCCUAUUGAACUUUACUUCAGUUAAGCUGGGGAAGCUAAUUAAAUAUUAUUUUAAUACCAUAACUUUAAUAAAUUUCUGGAAACCCAAUUUGAACAAGUUACCAUAGGGAUAACAGCGUAAUAAUUUUUUAAAGUUCUUAUUAAAAAGAAAGUUUACGACCUCGAUGUUGAAUUAAAUUACUUUAAAACGCAAUAGUAUUAAAAGUAGGUCUGUUCGACCUUUAAAUUUUUACAU
rnacentral:rRNA from 1 species